UCAUCCUCUUGAAUAUCUACAAUGUUUUUAACUUUUUGUUUAAACUUAUCACGUUUAGCUCUGAUUUUAUCUAAAUCGACACUUCUUCUUGUCUUACGAGCAUAUUCUGUUGUCUUAUCUUGGAGUUG
rnacentral:sRNA from 21 species